UCAGCAGCCGCGGUAAUACGGAGGAUCCAAGCGUUAUCCGGAUUUAUUGGGUUUAAAGGGUGCGUAGGCGGAUUAUUAAGUCAGUGGUGAAAGCCUGCAGCUUAACUGCAGAACUGCCAUUGAUACUGAUGAUCUUGAGUACAGUUGAGGUGGGCGGAAUAUGUCAUGUAGCGGUGAAAUGCUUAGAUAUGACAUAGAACACCAAUUGCGAAGGCAGCUCGCUAAACUGUAACUGACGCUGAGGCACGAAAGCGUGGGGAUCAAACAGGAUUAGAUACCCUGGUAGUCCACGCCCUAAACGAUGAUAACUCGAUGU
rnacentral:rRNA from 1 species